rnacentral:lncRNA from 1 species
UUGGCAAUGCACUUGAGGGAAUGCAUGAGAGCAAGAAAAUUGGCAAACAGAGACAUUGCAGGCACUGCAUGUAUAAUGAAUGGUGUGACCGUGGUGACCAGGGAGAGGCUGGCUGACUUCACAAAGCCAGCAUGGUUGCCCUGAACCACAGGAGGGCUGUGCCACAGCAGAGUGAAGAUGAUGGGAUUAUUGCAGACAGAUGAAGGAACAAAAGCUCAGCAGUGGCAUUGGAUAAUAUAAGAGAAGGUUUACAGGAACGUGAAUAAAUAACGUGCUUUGUCAACCAAAAAGUGCUCAUGUUUAAGGGUUGUUGUGAAGAUGAGAUGAAUUAAAUGACAAGUUCCUGAAAGAGUACCUGGCACCUCAGAAGUAUUAUACAAGAAAUAAAAGUUCCUGGGAGGAUAGAAAUGCUUCACUGGAUGCCAGAUGAAUGUUUAAAGCAAAGCUCCAAGACAAGGCCCUUCUUCUGCGAGAAGGCACCAAUUUUACAAAGCUACAAUGUUCCUAUGGAAGCCUGAAGUUUGGAAGUCAUAAAAAGAGUAACACCUGCCAACCUUGCUACCAGUUAAUAGAGACCUGGCUGCUGAGUUCUGGCAAAUGGCAUGGAGACAGAAGUACAGGCCUUACUUGUUGGAAUUUCCCAAAAGAAGCAAUGUUCCAUGUUCUUUCUUCUCUCACUUAUAGAAAAAAGUAAAGCCACCAGAUGCCAAGGUUCUAAGGCACCCAAAUUACCACUUAAAGAUGAGCUGCUGUCUAUAUGUAAUCUCAUCUUCCCCUGACUUGAGCAAGAAAUAAACCUCCACUGUGUUAACCUACUAACGCUGGUGGUGCAUUACCCUCAGAGGUGGGAGUGCGCCUGAUAUGUUCUAGAAGGAAUACAGAAAACAGCAUGGUCAGAGAAAAAUAAGCAAGGGAAAGAGUUGUAGGAAAUUUGCCAAAAACGGAUCCUCCCCCAAGCUUCCCAUCUUUAUAGAAGAAAAGUCUAUUCCCAGUCACUCAGGCCAAAAUCCUUGAAGCCUUUUCCUCACAUCCCUUGACCAACUGGAAUCUGACUAUUUUUCAGCCUUCCACUCCCAUCCCUGUGGGAUAGAUCACUACCAGGCAAUGGAACUUCUGCAACAGCUUCUUAACUAGUCUUCCCAUUUCCAUUCUUGCCCCCCUCCAUUGUCUUUUUUCUCCCCAAAGAGUAGAAGAGUUCCUUAAUUAGAAGUUAUUACUCAAAACACUUCCCAUCUCACUCAUAGUAACACCCAGAGUCUAGAGUUCUAGUCUUGACCCUCAAAACCUUAGAGCAAAGGUGGUACUCAUCAGUCCUCUAACCUAAUCUACCAUUCUCUUCCUUACACUCAUUAACCUCAGGGCCCUACUCUGUGUCUGUCUGUCUCUCUCUCUCUCUCUCUCUCUCACACACACACACACACACACACACACACAAAUUCUCAUGGAGAAGAGAAACCUACGUGCAAUUUGGCAAACUUUUGUUAAUGAAAGAAGUUCCUGGCGGUUUGCUUAAGCACUGUCUUUUCAUUCUUUCCUAUCUUUUCUUCCCAUUUAAAAAUUUUAAGAAUUACAGAAAAUAUCAUUCAACCCUAUGUCUGGCUUGCAUAUCAACCAAGGAAUUUCUCUACUUACUUGUAACAUAACAUAACUCAAAGUCUUAUUUGAUCAUUCCCUUCAGAAUAGUCGAAACAGAAUACUGUCUGUUAUAGACAAAAUUAAAAUUAGAUUCUAAAAUAAAAUAAAACAUAUAAAAUCAAAAAUAACAAUAAGGCAUUUUUCAUAAAAAUAAGACAUCUCAAACAUUUCCUCAUUUCUCUCUUGAGUCCUGUGUGUAGGUUCGGUCUGUUCAUCUACACACCUCAGUGGCACAGUUAACUAACAGGGUUUGUACUGCCUAAUGUAUAAAAAAUAAAAGAAGAGAAAACAAAACACCUAACAGAAAACAGGCUCCUUUUUCCCCCCACAAGGCAAAUGAUUUCAGCUGCAACAGCCUUAAACAUUUAUAGCUAACUAAAUUUUUUAUGAGAUGCUACUAAGAAGGUUCAAUCCAUUUCUUAAGAAUGAUAGCCUGGUCACAGAGAGUCUCUUAGAAAGUGAGUAUCCAAGUCUUUUCAUUCAGAAUUGGAAUGUUCAUCAAAUGUUGAGGAGAGCUCAGUAACAGCUCUGCACAAUCCCACCUCCUUUAUUCAAAAUACUACCCCAAUUUUCUAACUAUUAUAAAGAACAAAAUAGCUAUAAGGAAUAAAGUGAAAAUGGAAAAGGAAAACACUCUCAUGCAUCUGGCAAUAUUAGCACCAGAAG